CGGUAAUUCCAGCUCCAAUAGCGUAUAUUAAAGUUGUUGCCGUUAAAAAGCUCGUAGUCGAACUUCGGCCUUUGCCGCCCGGUCCGCCCUAUGGGUGUGUACUGGAGCGGUGGAGGCUUACCUCGUGGUGAACGGCCAUGCUCUUUACUGGGUGUGGUCGGGAACCAUGAUUUUUACUUUGAAAAAAUUAGAGUGUUCAAAGCAGGCUUACGCCCGAAUACAUUAGCAUGGAAUAAUAAAAUAGGACGUGCGGUUCUAUUUUGCUGGUUUCUAGGAUCGCCGUAAUGAUUAAUAGGGAUAGUUGGGGGCAUUCGUAUUCAAUUGCUAGAGGUGAAAUUCUUGGAUUUAUUGAAGACGAACUACUGCGAAAGCAUUUGCCAAGGAUGUUUUCAUUGAUCAAGAACGAAGGUUAGGGGAUCGAAAACGAUCAGAUACCGUUGUAGUCUUAACAGUAAACGAUGCCGACUAGGGAUCGGACGAGGAUUUUUAAUGACUCGCUCGGCACCUGAAGAGAAAUCUUUAAGUCUAGGUUCGGGGGGGAGUAUGGUCGCAAGGCUGAAACUUAAAGGAAUUGACGGAAGGGCACCACCAGGUGUGGAGCCUGCGGCUUAAUUUGACUCAACACGGGGAAACUCACCAGGUCCAGACACGACAAGGAUUGACAGAUUGAUAGCUCUUUCUUGAUUUCGUGGUUGGUGGUGCAUGGCCGUUCUUAGUUGGUGGAGUGAUUUGUCUGGUUAAUUCCGAUAACGAACGAGACCUUAACCUGCUAAAUAGCCCGGCCGACUUUGGUUGGUCGCUGGCUUCUUAGAGGGACUAUCAGCGUUUAGCUGAUGGAAGUUUGAGGCAAUAACAGGUCUGUGAUGCCCUUAGAUGUUCUGGGCCGCACGCGCGCUACACUGACCGAACCAGCGAGUUUAUCACCUUGGCCGGAAGGCCUGGGUAAUCUUGUGAAACUCGGUCGUGAUGGGGAUAGAGCAUUGCAAUUAUUGCUCUUCAACGAGGAAUACCUAGUAAGCGUGAGUCAUCAGCUCGCGUUGAAUUCGUCCCUGCCCUUUGUACACACCGCCCGUCGCUACUACCGAUUGAAUGGCUUAGUGAGGUCUCCGGAUUGGCUUCUGGGAGCCGGCAACGGCACCUAGUCGCUGAGAAGUUGAACGAACUUGGUCAUUUAGAGGAAGUAAAAGUCGUAACAAGGUAGCCG
rnacentral:rRNA from 1 species